rnacentral:rRNA from 1 species
UAAUACGUAGGGAGCAAGCGUUGUCCGGAAUUACUGGGCGUAAAGGGUGCGUAGGCGGCAAGGCAAGUCAGGUGUGAAAUCCCCGGGCUUAACUCGGGGGGUGCAUUUGAAACUGCUUUGCUUGAGUACAGGAGAGGAAAGCGGAAUUCCUAGUGUAGCGGUGAAAUGCGUAGAUAUUAGGAGGAACACCAGUGGCGAAGGCGGCUUUCUGGACUGUCACUGACGCUGAGGCACGAAAGCGUGGGGAGCAAACAGG